rnacentral:rRNA from 1 species
AUUGAACGCUGGCGGCAGGCCUAACACAUGCAAGUCGAACGGUAACAGGAAACAGCUUGCUGUUUCGCUGACGAGUGGCGGACGGGUGAGUAAUGUCUGGGAAACUGCCUGAUGGAGGGGGAUAACUACUGGAAACGGUAGCUAAUACCGCAUAACGUCGCAAGACCAAAGAGGGGGACCUUCGGGCCUCUUGCCAUCGGAUGUGCCCAGAUGGGAUUAGCUAGUAGGUGGGGUAACGGCUCACCUAGGCGACGAUCCCUAGCUGGUCUGAGAGGAUGACCAGCCACACUGGAACUGAGACACGGUCCAGACUCCUACGGGAGGCAGCAGUGGGGAAUAUUGCACAAUGGGCGCAAGCCUGAUGCAGCCAUGCCGCGUGUAUGAAGAAGGCCUUCGGGUUGUAAAGUACUUUCAGCGGGAAUGAAGGGAGUAAAGUUAAUACCUUUGCUCAUUGACGUUACCCGCAGAAGAAGCACCGGCUAACUCCGUG